rnacentral:lncRNA from 1 species
CUAUGAUGACAAGGCCUCCUGAUUGACCUUAUCCUUUUGAAAUCUUAAGGGACAUACCCAAGUUAGUUGAAAUCUUGAGAGGCAACUCAGUUUAUGUAAUAUUUUUAGUUUCUUUUUAUUUUGUAGGAAUCUCUAGAAAAAUGAUUAGCCAAGUUGAAUCUCUAUAGUGGAGUGAAUGAGUGAUGCUACUAGCUAAGUU